GCCAGGUGCAGUGGUGCAUGCCUGUAAUCUCAGCAGCUUGGGAGGCUGAGACAGGAGGAUUGAGAGUUCAAAGCCAGCCUCAGCACAAGUGAGGCGCUAAGCAACUCAGUGAGACCCUGUCUCUA
rnacentral:sRNA from 1 species